rnacentral:rRNA from 1 species
AGGACGAACGCUGGCGGCGUGCCUAAUACAUGCAAGUCGAACGGUCUUUUCUAUGGAAGCUUGCUUCCACUGAGAAGAUAGUGGCGAACGGGUGAGUAACACGUGGGUAACCUGCCCAUAAGAGGGGGAUAACAUCCGGAAACGGGUGCUAAUACCGCAUAGUUUUCUUGAUCACAUGAUUGAGAAAGGAAAGACGGCCUUUGUGCUGUCGCUUAUGGAUGGACCCGCGGCGUAUUAGUUAGUUGGUGAGGUAACGGCUCACCAAGACGAUGAUACGUAGCCGACCUGAGAGGGUGAUCGGCCACAUUGGGACUGAGACACGGCCCAAACUCCUACGGGAGGCAGCAGUAGGGAAUCUUCCGCAAUGGACGAAAGUCUGACGGAGCAACGCCGCGUGAGUGAAAGAAGGUUUUCGGAUCGUAAAACUCUGUUGUCAGAGAAGAACAAGUUGGAGAGUAACUGCUCCAGCCUUGACGGUAUUUGACCAGAAAGCCACGGCUAACUACGUGCCAGCCGCCGC